rnacentral:rRNA from 1 species
AUUGAACGCUGGCGGCAGGCCUAACACAUGCAAGUCGAACGAGAGGCGGACGGGCGAGUAAUGGAUGGGAAACUGGGUGAUGGAGGGGGAUAACUAGUGGAAAAGGUAGCUAAUACUGCAUAACAUGCGAUGGGGUCAGAUGGGAUUAGCGUGUUGGUGGGGUAACGGCUCACCAAGGCGACGAUCCCUAGCUGGGCUGAGAGGAUGACCAGCCACACUGGAACUGAGACACGGUCCAGACUCCUACGGGAGGCAGCAGUGGGGAAUAUUGCACAAUGGGCGCAAGCCUGAUGCAGCCAUGCCGCGUGUGUGAAGAAGGCCUUCGGGUUGUAAAGCACUUUCAGCGGGGAGGCGUUACCCGCAGAAGAAGCACCGGCUAACUCCGUGCCAGCAGCCGCGGUAAUAC